rnacentral:rRNA from 1 species
UAGGGAAUCUUCCACAAUGGGCGAAAGCCUGAUGGAGCAACGCCGCGUGUGUGAUGAAGGAUUUCGGCUCGUAAACACUGUUGUAAGAGAAGAAUGACAUUGAGAGUAACUGUUCAAUGUGUGACGGUAUCUUACCAGAAAGGAACGGCUAAAUACGUGCCAG